UGAAGUGUUGUGUGCUCCUGUAUUUGUAGCAGGAGUUGUUCAAACAAUAGCAAGACUAGUCACGAGGAUCUCGUCCGCAAUGAGGACAGGCCUAAGCAGACUGAAAGGGUUUUACAGGAGAUGGGGGCAAAGCAAGAUUAAAUGUUAUACGGGAUUUCUUAUCAACAUAGUCGGGGUGAGUGUUAGUUAUGUGCUACUAUACGGAUAUGUGUGAUAU
rnacentral:lncRNA from 1 species